rnacentral:rRNA from 1 species
UACGGAGGAUCCAAGCGUUAUCCGGAUUCAUUGGGUUUAAAGGGUGCGUAGGCGGACUAAUAAGUCAGUGGUGAAAGCCCUCAGCUUAACUGAGGAACUGCCAUUGAUACUGUUAAUCUUGAGUACAUUUGAUGUGGGCGGAAUGUGUCAUGUAGCGGUGAAAUGCUUAGAUAUGACACAGAACACCGAUUGCGAAGGCAGCUCACAAAACUGUAACUGACGCUGAGGCACGAAAGCGUGGGUAUCAAACAGG